UUUGUACAUGUUUUGGCACCUAACCUUCUAUAAACAAGGUUAGAAUUUGAAUUUACUGUCUGCCUAGUCUAUUGUUUAGCUCUCUCUUUCUUCACUUAUUUUUCUCUGCUUCUCUUUCCCCUCUGAUUAACUUUACUACUCUCAACCUUCUGAUUUCUUGCUACAUCCAUCCUUGAUGCUCCUUCUCUUACCUAUCUCCCACAAGUGCUCCCCUGUUAUUGCUCCAUUUUCUAACCAUUCCCCUUGGGUCUCCCCUCCCUUCUCUCCUCAUUCUCUGAUCUUUCUGUCCUCUCAUCUCAUUUCUAUUUCGCAGUCUCUUUUCUUCUGGGUCUCUAUGCUUGCUUCUCUGAGUCUGCCCCCAACCCUUUCUUUCUUCCUUCCUCCCUGGUCCUUUUUCAUUUCCCUGGCAUCUCUCUUGCUCUUGAUAUUCUGUGUCUUCUCUCUCUUUCUUUCCAAACCUCCAUGGAUUCUUUUCCCCUGCUCUCCCCAUUUCUGUAAUCCUCUCUCAGCCUUGCCAACUCUUGGAAUGACAGAGGCUCCAGCCCUCUACCUAAUUUGAGUCCUGUUGGCUGCCUGCCCUAUUUGCCUGCAUCCUGGGCCAGAAUAACUAAUUAGAGCUGCAGCAGGCAGACCUCUCCCCCUGUCCAAAGCAAUUCUCACAGGAGGACGGGGGUGAGGAGGGAAGCUAAACAGAGCAGCAGAUCAGGGUGGCUCUGCUCCCUCCCACUUCCUGUGAGCAAUGGAGACAGGAUGGACCCUCUGUCUGCGGCAUCAGGCCUGCUCUUUCCUCUCAGCUGCUUCUCUUCAAAAACUUUCCUACCCUCUCCUGGCUACCUGUUCCUCCUGCAGUUUAACCUAGGAAUUUUUAAACUGUUUAAGUCUUAGCCUUGCCAUGCUCGGAUUUAGCACUUCACAUCAUCAGAAGGGGAUACCUGGCCAACCAGAAUGUGGCUUUGGACAGUCAAUGCUUCCAGCAAGACUCUACACUGAUUAAACUGCUAGAAGAGGUCAACACUGCAGAGCAGUCGCAUACAUACAACUGAAAAAUAAACAGUCCUUUAAUGUU